rnacentral:tRNA from 1 species
GCAUUAGUAGCUCAGCUCUAGAGCGCUGGUCUUGUAAGCCAGAUGUCGGAGGUUAAAGUCCUCCCUUUUGCU